rnacentral:rRNA from 1 species
UGAAUACGAGAUGCUAAGGCGUCGAAGUAGUGUAUGUCAUACUUCCAAGAAAAGCUUGCACUGUCAUAGAUAAAAAACGCCUGUACCAUAACCGACACAGGUGGGUAGGUAGAGUAUACUAAGGGGCGCGAGAUAACUCUCUCUAAGGAACUCGGCAAAAUAACUCCGUAACUUCGGGAGAAGGAGUGCCUUAUUCGUAAGGUUGCAAUAACAAGAUCCAAGCAACUGUUUAUCAAAAACACAGGUCUCCGCUAAGUCGUAAGACGAUGUAUGGGGGCUGACGCCUGCCCAGUGCCAGAAGGUUAAAGAAGUUGGUUAGCAAUUGCGAAGCUGAUAACUGAAGCCCUGGUGAACGGCGGCCGUAACUAUAACGGUCCUAAGGUAGCGAAAUUCCUUGUCGGGUAAGUUCCGACCCGCACGAAAGGCGUAAUGAUUUGGAUACUGUCUCGGAGAGGGGCUCGGUGAAAUAGACUUGUCUGUGAAGAUGCGGACUACCUGCACCAGGACAGAAAGACCCUAUGAAGCUUUACUGUAACUUGAAAUUGAAAUUGGACUUUAUUCGCGCAGUAUAGGUGGGAGGCGUUGAUUAUAAUCUUGUGGGAUUAUUGGAGCCAUCAGUGAGAUACCACUCUUGUAAUGUUAGAUUUCUAACUUUGAAUCAUUAUCUGGUCAAAGAACAGUUUCAGGCGGGCAGUUUGACUGGGGCGGUCGCCUCCUAAACGGUAACGGAGGCGUACAAAGGUUUCCUCUGAACGGUUAGAAAUCGUAUCUAGAGUGUAAAGGCAUAAGGAAGCUUGUCUGUGAGACCUACAAGUCGAGCAGGGACGAAAGUCGGUCUUAGUGAUCUGACGGUACUGAGUGGAAAGGCCGUCACUCAACGGAUAAAAGUUACUCUAGGAUAACAGGCUGAUCUCCCCCAAGAGUUCACAUCGACGGGGAGGUUUGGCACCUCGAUGUCGGCUCAUCGCAUCCUGGGGCGGUAGUACGUCCCAAGGGUUGGGCUGUUCGCCCAUGGAAGCGGUACGCGAGCUGGGUUCAGAACGUCGUGAGACAGUUCGGUCCAUAUCCGGCGUAGGCGCUAGAAUAUUGAGAGGAGCCUUCUUUAGUACGAGAGGACCGAGAAGGACAUACCUCUGGUGUACCAGUUAUCGUGCCAACGGUAAACGCUGGGUAGCUAUGUAUGGAGUGGAUAACCGCUGAAAGCAUCUAAGUGGGAAGCCCACCUCAAGAUAAGUAUUCUC